GGGGAUUUUCAAAGAAAAAAUGGAUUAUUUUCGCUAAAAUGAAGGAUUUUCAAAGAGUAAAUGAAUGAUUUUUGCUUAAAUUGGGGUUUUUCAAUGAGAAAAUGAGUGAUUUUUGCGUAAAUGAUGGAUUUUCGAAGGGAAAAUGGGUGAUUUUGGGGUUAAAUGGGGGAUUUUCAAAGAGAAAAUGCAUGAUUUUCUAGUUAAAUGGAUAAUUUUCGAAGAGAAAAUGGUUGUUUUUUGCGUAAAUGGGGGAUUUUCGAAAAGAAAACGGGUGAUUUUUGUGGUAAAUGGGGGAUUUUCAAAGAAAAAAUGGAUUAUAUUCGCUAAAAUGAAGGAUUUUCAAAGAUCGGAUUUUUUCGAAGAGAAAAAUCGGUUUUUUUCGAAGAGAAAAUGCAUGAUUUGGGGGAUAAAAGGGGGAUUUCUGAAGAGAAAAUGGGUGAUUUUUGCGUAAAUGACGGAUUUUCAAAGAGAAAAUGGGUGAUUUUGGGGAUAAAUGGGGGAUUUUUGAAGAGAAAAUGGGUGAUUUCUGCGUAAAUGACGGAUUUUCAAAGAGAAAAUGUGUGAUUUUCGGGUUAAAUGGGGGAUUUUCAAAGAGAAACGGCAUGAUUUUUGGGUGAAAUGGGGAAUUUUCGAAAAGAAAACAGGUGAUUUUCAGGUUAAAUGGGGGAUUUUCAAAGAGAAAAUGGGUGAUUUUCGCUUAAAUCGGGGAUUUUUGAAGAGAAAAUGGGUGAUUUCUGCAUAAAUGAGGGAUUUUUAAAAAGAAAACGGGUGAUUUUUGUGGUAAAUGGGGGAUUUUCAAAGAAAAAAUGGAUUAUUUUCGCUAAAAUGAAGGAUUUUCAAAGAGUAAAUGAAUGAUUUUUGCUUAAAUUGGGGUUUUUCAAUGAGAAAAUGGGUGAUUUUCACUAAAAUGAGGGAUUAUCAAAGAGAAAAUAAGUGAUUUUUGCGUAAAUGAGGGAUUUUCGAAGAGAAAAUGGGUGAUUUUUGUGGAAAAUGGGGGAUUUUCAAAGAGAAAAUGGGUGAUUUUGGGGUUAAAUGGGGAAUUUUCGAAAAGAAAACGGGUGAUUUUCGCUUAAAUGGGGGAUUUUCAAGGAGAAAAUGGGUGAUUUUUGCGUAAAUGAGGGAUUCUCGAAGGGAAAAUGGGUGAUUUUGGGGUUAAAUGGCGGAUUUUCAAAGAGAAAAUGCAUGAUUUUCUAGUUAAAUGGAUAAUUUUCGAAGAGAAAAUGGUUGUUUUUUGCGUAAAUGGGGGAUUUUCGAAAAGAAAACGGGUGGUUUUCGGGUUAAAUAGGGGAUUUUCAAAGAAAAAAUGCGUGAUUUUUGGGUUAAAUGGGAUUUUUUUAAGAGAAAAUGAGUGAUUUUCGCUUAAAUCGGUUUUUUUCGAAGAGAAAAUGCAUGAUUUGGGGGAUAAAAGGGGGAUUUCUGAAGAGAAAAUGGGUGAUUUUUGCGUAAAUGAGGGAUUUUUAAAAAGAAAACGGGUGUUUUUUGUGCUAAAUGGGGGAUUUUCGAAGAGAAAAUGGAUUAUUUUCGCUAAAAUGAAGGAUUUUCAAAGAGUAAAUGAAUGAUUUUUGCUUAAACUGGGGAUUUUCAAUGAGAAAAUGGGUGAUUUUCAUGAAAAUGGGUGAUUUUCAAUGAGAAAAUAAGUGAUUUUGAGCGUUAAUGAGGG
ensembl:lncRNA